rnacentral:rRNA from 1 species
AGAAUCAACGCUGGCGGCGUGCCUAACACAUGCAAGUCGCACGAGAAAGGGGAGCAAUCCCUGAGUAAAGUGGCGCACGGGUGAGUAACACGUGAAUAAUCUACCUCCGAGUGGGGAAUAACUGAGAGAAAUCUUAGCUAAUACCGCAUAAUACCCACGGGUCAAAGCAGCAAUGCGCUUGGAGAGGAGUUCGCGGCCGAUUAGUUAGUUGGCGGGUAAUGGCCCACCAAGACGAUGAUCGGUA